rnacentral:tRNA from 1 species
AAAGGGAGACCUAAUUCAGGUAGGAGACGAAAAAAAAGUAGUCGCUACCAAGAAUCAAUCCCAAAAGGUCGGAGCGAGGCGAAAUUGGCUUUCAAACUAGGUUCUGGGUUCACACAAGACCUGAAUCAGGAACAAGGGCUAUUAGCUCAGGUGGUUAGAGCGCACCCCUGAUAAGGGUGAGGUCCCUGGUUCGAGUCCAGGAUGGCCCACCUGUACAGGUGGCAAAAAGAAAGAAAAGAAGCGAGGAAUCAGCACCUUAUCUUACUUAUAUAGUAAGAGAGAAUGCUGGCUCUGAGUUCAGAGUCCAGAGGAACCUUGAAAACUGCAUAGAGCUAGGUGAAAAAGCCAAAAAAGAAGACCGCAAG